GAUGAAGAUUUAAGAAAUUGAGAAACAAGCACUGCAACGAUACAUCCAAGAACAGCUUCAGCGGAAUCGGAGUCAACGGCGGCUCCAGGUUUUGGGCGGUCCAUUUGGUGGGGGCAGAUAUCACUACUGGAAGCCCCUGCGAUUGUUCGGCUGUGUACUCCCUGUCCGCAUAUCUCACACUCCCAAAGCGGAUUAUGACUUUCAUCUUUCAUUUACCUUUUCUGUAUUUUUCUUUUGAGAUAUAGAUUGGUUUCGUGCAUCUUGAUGUUUGUCGGGGGUGUUCUUGAGGUAUGGCCUUCCAUGAGGCCUAAGGGCAUGGUGGUAUAACAGAAAGUUCCUACUUCGGUAAUAAAAGAAUCGUAUUGAUUUA